ensembl:lncRNA
AUGAUUACCUUUGAUAUAUUCUAUUCAAUUGUUCUUCCACAGAAAGUCCUGACAGUCCAACAAACUUCUUUGAAAGGAUUCAGUGGAGUUGCCAUUUUACUUUAUAUCAAAUAUUCUUUUGUGAAGACCAUUUGUCUGCAGUGUCCAUCUACUCUCCAGUUAUCAGAAGAAUACAUCAUUGGGGAACAACCACACAGAGGGGCUGUUUCCUGGACACAGAUUAUGCCGAAGAGAAGGACAACCUGAAUUGCUUUCAUGGAGGACUGGCUUGAAUUAUGAGGAUGGCCACAAUUUAGUUUCAUCAUGAGCAAAAGCUAUUGGUUUUUCUACCCAAAGUUGCAAAGCAUGGCAAUUUUGUGACCCAUGUUUGGUACAAGGGUCACAAAAGGUGUGACCCAUGUAAUAAACACAAGAGACCAGCAACAUGGAUAAAAGGGUGUGGCAGUAGCAGGAACAGCGGCAUAUAGUAGGAAAAACCUGGUACUCACUAAUUUAUGGUAAUGCCAGCGACUUCCAAAUGGCUAAUUUCUCUGAACAGGGGGAACCCCCCCCCCACCAGAUUCACAGGAAAUAAAUUAUAGGAUGAAGAAGCAACACUCCAAGCCGCAGCUCCAUACUACUUUCUAGACAGAGAACUGAUACUGUAUACUGGUUGUGGGGUGCAAUUGUGGAUGAGUGUGAGGGGUAUGGGUGGCUAUUGGAUUCCUCAUGUAUUACUCAUUGGUAGGAAGAAUUAUGGUCAAAUGUUACUAUAUUUAUUGAAGAUUAUUUCAAUCCUAUUAUUUUAAAUAGCCAAUAUGGGCGCAAUCAAUUAGCUUAAAUUCUUAGAGAUCAAAUUAUGUUUCAGGAAUGAUAAUCUUAUCUGUAACUACAGAAACGAUUUCAGCACAAUCUGAGAUGGUGGGUGUCAAAAUCCUCCUUGUGCUUUUUGAAGUGGAAACGACACGAUAACUAGUCUAAGCUCAGACAUCUUUGAAUGGCUAGGUCAACAAGUAUGCAGAGGAAGAGUGUCUGAACCAUAGAAAUACAAUAACCGUUCUAGUAAUUAUAUUUAUAUGGUUUGAUUGAAGGAGAACCAUUCCAAUAUGACUGCCUCUAUGUCAUGUCAGUGUACAAUCAGUCACAACGGUGGAUACCAUACUUUGAAAAAAACAAUGGAGAAAAAAAAGAGCUAAUAUUGUGGUAAAAAGAAAAAAAUUCAAUCAAUGUGCCAAUUAAAUAAAUCACAAUAUACCAAAGCACCUCUUGAAGAGUAUUUCAGACAUUCUUCACGGAACACAACUCUUUAGCAUUUUCCAAACAUACCCGUUCAGUAAAUACAUGUCAACUGUCUUGGUGUUGUAAGGCACCUUCAAAUGUUACUUUCUUUCCUAUAUCCAAGAUAAUGGAUUGUACAUCAUUGCUGGGGGAUAUUUAUUAUUAUUCUGCAUUAAAGUUAAUGAACGUGUUGAUGAACACAUAGUAGUCGCCAGGCAGGGAGCGUGAGAGUUGAAGGCAUAGUAGUCGCCGGGCAGGGAGCGUGAGAGUUGAAGGCAUAGUAGUCGCCGGGCAGGGAACGUGAGAGUUGAAGGCAUAGUAGUCGCCGGGCAGGGAACGUGAGAGUUGAAGGCAUAGUAGUCGCCGGGCAGGGAACGUGAGAGUUGAAGGCAUAAGAAAAAGUAUGAAUUUGAGAAUGGGAGUGUGUUAUCAUCGACUUCAUGGAUACCAUGUAUAAGGUGACAGUUGGGCGAGAUACAGCCAUAGAUGGUAGCAGGCCAGGCGACCCUUGGGUUUGGCAUACAGCAUCUAGACGUAGAUUGUCAGGGAUGACAAGACCCCUCUUCCACUAGCCUGAUCCAAGAUCUGUUGGUGCGGUCUUCCCAACAAUGUUUUGCUGUAUAGCAAACUUCCACAGUUUGGUAAUGACUAUGACCAUAUAAAGGUAUACAGCACAAACAGCUCUGGGACAAGGCUAGUCUUCCACAGAGU